GCAAUGUCGAGCGGACAGAUGAUGGGAGCUUGCUCCCUGAUGUUAGCGGCGGACGGGUGAGUAACACGUGGGUAACCUGCCUGUAAGACUGGGAUAACUCCGGGAAACCGGGGCUAAUACCGGAUGGUUGUUUGAACCGCAUGGUUCAAACAUAAAAGGUGGCUUCGGCUACCACUUACAGAUGGACCCGCGGCGCAUUAGCUAGUUGGUGAGGUAACGGCUCACCAAGGCAACGAUGCGUAGCCGACCUGAGAGGGUGAUCGGCCACACUGGGACUGAGACACGGCCCAGACUCCUACGGGAGGCAGCAGUAGGGAAUCUUCCGCAAUGGACGAAAGUCUGACGGAGCAACGCCGCGUGAGUGAUGAAGGUUUUCGGAUCGUAAAGCUCUGUUGUUAGGGAAGAACAAGUACCGUUCGAAUAGGGCGGUACCUUGACGGUACCUAACCAGAAAGCCACGGCUAACUACGUGCCAGCAGCCGCGGUAAUACGUAGGUGGCAAGCGUUGUCCGGAAUUAUUGGGCGUAAAGGGCUCGCAGGCGGUUUCUUAAGUCUGAUGUGAAAGCCCCCGGCUCAACCGGGGAGGGUCAUUGGAAACUGGGGAACUUGAGUGCAGAAGAGGAGAGUGGAAUUCCACGUGUAGCGGUGAAAUGCGUAGAG
rnacentral:rRNA from 1 species